CAGUCGAGCGAGAAGUUUUAAAAAGAUACUUCGGUUGAUUUUUAAGAUGGACAGCGGCGAAAGGGAGAGUAACGAGUAGAUACGUACCCAGGGGUUCGGGAUUGCCAUGCGAAAGCGUGAGUAAUACCGAAUAAUGUCUCCGGACCAAAGAUUUAUUGCCCUUGGAGCGGUCUGCUUACUAUUAGGUAGUUGGUGGGGUAAGAGCCUACCAAGCCGAAGAUGGUUAGCGGGUGUGAGAGCAUGGCCCGUCUCACUGGGACUGAGAUACUGCCCAGACACCUACGGGUGGCUGCAGUCGAGAAUCUUCCGCAAUGGGCGCAAGCCUGACGGAGCGACGCCGCGUGAUGGACGAAGGCCCUCGGGUUGUAAACAUCUGUCGUAGGGGAGGAAAUUUUGACCGAUCCUAGGAGGAAGCACAGGCUAAGUUCGUGCCAGCAGCCGCGGUAAUACGAACUGUGCAAACGUUAUUCGGAAUCACUGGGCUUAAAGGGUGCGUAGGCGGGUUUGUAGGUCAGAUGUGAAAGCCCACGGCUCAACCGUGGAAUUGCGUUUGAAACCACAAGUCUUGAGGGGAUCAGAGGAGAGCGGAACUGAUGGUGGAGCGGUGAAAUGCGUUGAUAUCAUCAGGAACACCGGUGGCGAAAGCGGCUCUCUGGGAUCUUUCUGACGCUGAGGCACGAAAGCUAGGGGAGCGAACGGGAUUAGAUACCCCGGUAGUCCUAGCUGUAAACGAUCUGUACUAGUCCGUGGGGCCUCCCACAGUUUCUCGGACGUAGCGAAAGUGUUAAGUACAGCGCCUGGGGAGUAUGGUCGUAAGGCUGAAACUCAAAGGAAU
rnacentral:rRNA from 1 species